rnacentral:tRNA from 2 species
GCCAAGGGAGCUUGGGUCCGGUCCAAGCACUCGAUUUGUAAUCGAGAAUUCAUGGGUUCAAAUCCCAUCCUUGGCU